rnacentral:tRNA from 1 species
GCAGAUGUAGCCAAGUGGUAAGGUAUUGGACUGUGACUCCAUGGUUCGAGCCGAAACGACUCCA